GUAAGAAUGUAGGGAAACUUGCAUUUAGAGGCAAUACAAAUACUCGUAUUGUCCAAUGAAGAAACUGAAUUGCUGGGAACUCGUAAAGCUAACGAAACGACAACGUAGGGAUAAUAAACCCAAGCGUGAACGUAGUGAAAACAGAAAAAAUUCGUUAGAUAGCAUAAGGUUAAAUCCUAAGUGCCCAUACAAUCGAAAAUCAGCAGCCAAGCCUAGAAAUAGGAAGGUUCAACGACUAUUCCUCUUGAGGGAAGUACACACAAGCGUGUGGAAGUGGUUUCGCCUGAACAAGUAAAGUUGAAGGAUAAGAUAUAGUCUGUGCUUGCAUGAAAGUGCAAG
rfam:Enterococcus sulfureus ATCC 49903 acyDF-supercont2.7, whole genome shotgun sequence.